UACGUAGGGGGCAAGCGUUGUCCGGAUUUAUUGGGUGUAAAGAGCGUGUAGGCGGCCAUGCAGGUCCGUUGUGAAAACUCGAGGCUCAACCUCGAGCUGUCGAUGGAAACCAUCUGGCUAGAGUCCGGAAGAGGAGAGUGGAAUUCCCGGUGUAGCGGUGAAAUGCGCAGAUAUCGGGAAGAACACCCGUGGCGAAGGCGGCUCUCUGGGACGGUACUGACGCUGAGACGCGAAAGCGUGGGGAGCGAACAGG
rnacentral:rRNA from 1 species